rnacentral:tRNA from 1 species
GGGGGUCUAGCUCAGUAGUAGAGUGUGUGCUUGGUGUGGACGAGGUCCUGGGUUCAAUUCCCAGUGCCUCCA